rnacentral:rRNA from 1 species
GAGUUUGAUCAUGGCUCAGAACGUACGCUGGCGGCACGCCUAACACAUGCAAGUCGAACGAAGUAGCAAUACUUAGUGGCAGACGGGUGAGUAACAUGUGGGUAUCAUACCCUUUGGCCUGGAAUAACACGAGGAAACUUGUGCUAAUACCGAAUAAGUCUUUACGGAGAAAGCUUUAUGCACCAUUGGAUGAGCCCGCACUUGAUUAGUUUGUUGGUAGGGUAAUGGCCUACCAAGACUAUGAUCAAUAGCUGAUUUGAGAGGAUGAUCAGCCACAUUGGGACUGAGACACGGCCCAAACUCCUACGGGAGGCAGCAGUGGGGAAUCUUGCACAAUGGAGGAAACUCUGAUGCAGCGAUGCCGCGUGAGUGAAGAAGGCCUUUGGGUUGUAAAGCUCUUUCGUCGGGGAAGAAAAUGACUGUACCCGAAUAAGAAGGUCCGGCUAACUUCGUGCCAGCAGCCGCGGUAAUACGAAGGGACCUAGCGUAGUUCGGAAUUACUGGGCUUAAAGAGUUCGUAGGUGGUUGAAAAAGUUGGUGGUGAAAUCCCAGAGCUUAACUCUGGAACUGCCAUUCAAAACUUUUCAGCUAGAGUAUGAUAGAGGGAAAGCAGAAUUUCUAGUGUAGAGGUGAAAUUCGUAGAUAUUAGAAAGGAAUACCAAUUGCGGAAGGCAGCUUUCUGGAUCAUUACUGACACUGAGGAACGAAAGCAUGGGUAGCGAAGAGGAUUAGAUACCCUCGUAGUCCAUGCCGUAAACGAUGUGUGUUAGACGUUGGAAAUUUAUUUUCAGUGUCGCAGGGAAACCGAUAARCACACCGCCUGGGGAGUACGACCGCAAGGUUAAAACUCAAAUGAAUUGACGGGGACCCGCACAAGUAGUGGAGCAUGUGGUUUAAUUCGAAGAUACGCGCAGAACCUUACCAACACUUGACAUGUUCGUCGCGAACUCUAAGAGAUUAGAGUUUUCGGUUCGGCCGGACGAAACACAGGUGCUGCAUGGCUGUCGUCAGCUCGUGUCGUGAGAUGUUGGGUUAAGUCCCGCAACGAGCGCAACCCUCACUUUUAGUUGCCAUCAUUAAGUUGGGCACUCUGAAAGAACUGCCAGUGAUAAGCUGGAGGAAGGUGGGGAAUGACGUCAAGUCCUACAUGGCCCUUACGUGUUGGGCUAACACACGUGCUACAUAUGGCAUCUGACAACAGGAAGCAAAACGGCAACGUUAAGCAAAUCCCGAAAAGAUGCCUCAGUUCGGAUUGCACUCUGCAACUCCGAAGUGCAUGGAAGCUGGAAUUAACUAGUAAUCGUGGAUCAGCGUGCCACGGUGAAUGCGUUACCCGGGUACUUGUAACACACCGCCCGUCACACCAUGGGAGUUGGUU